GGGCGGUUAGCUCAGCUGGUUAGAGCACCUGCCUUACAAGCAGGGGGUCACAAGUUCGAAUCUUGUACCGCCCA
rnacentral:tRNA from 1 species